rnacentral:misc_RNA from 1 species
AAGUCGUAACAAGGUUUCCGUAGGUGAACCUGCGGAAGGAUCAUUAAUGAAUUUACUUGAGAGCUGAUGCUGGCUUUACCGCAUGUGCUCGCUCUCAUAAUUCUAUCCUUAUACACCUGUGCACACGCGAAGGAGGUUUGCCGGUUCGCAAGGACCGAAUCUCCUCCUUCCUUUCUUACAUACUCCAAAUUAACUGCGAACGUGAACGCCUUUUUACAAGGCAUAAACUUUAUACAACUUUUAACAACGGAUCUCUUGGCUCUC